rnacentral:rRNA from 1 species
UACGAAGGGGGCUAGCGUUGUUCGGAAUUACUGGGCGUAAAGCGCACGUAGGCGGACAUUUAAGUCAGGGGUGAAAUCCCAGAGCUCAACUCUGGAACUGCCUUUGAUACUGGGUGUCUUGAGUAUGGAAGAGGUGAGUGGAAUUCCGAGUGUAGAGGUGAAAUUCGUAGAUAUUCGGAGGAAGACCAGUGGCGAAGGCGGGUCUCUGGACAGUUCCUGACACUGAGACACGAAAGCGUGGGGAGCAAACAGG